GGAGAAUGAUAGAAGACCACAGCAGAGGCGGAAAUUUCAAGAGCUACCGGUUACUCCUAAAGAGCCAGCAAAUCGUAUCCAGAACUCACGACAGGACGAAUUUCUUAAGCCAGGUUCAGUGGAUUUGAAUGCAAGGAACAUUUCGUCCAUGCCACCACCCAAGAAGUUGUGCUCGCCUUCUUCAGAUGGCAUGCCGCCUCCGCCUCCAAGGAACAUGCCGCC
rnacentral:misc_RNA from 1 species